GGAUUACAAGGACAAGCAAUUAAGAAACAAGACCAUUAGAUUGGUUAAAGUAAUUUGGAAGGGCACGACUCCAGGUGAUGCUACGUGGGAGACCGAGGACAGUAUGCGACGUGAUUAUCCUCGUCUUUUUGAUUAAAUUGUAUUACUGGUGAAGAUUGUGGUGAGAGAGAAAUUUUAAGGAAUAAUUUAUUGAAAAAGCCACAAGGAGAAGAGCCACGAGUGACACGUGGAGGAGUCCCAGAGGCUUAGUGGUAUAGAUCCACUGUCUCUUUUGGGUAUUUAAUUUAUGAUUUAUAAUGUGUUAUAUUGCCAAUAUUAGGGC